GCCAAACAGCUAGCUCAAUUACCCAAUAACUAAACAAUAUAAAUAAAACAAAAUAAGCCUAACACCAAAAAUUAAAUCAUUCUUUUACCUUAGUAUGGGCGACAGAAAAGGUUACACCCGGAGCAAUAGAAAAAGUACCGCAAGGGAAAGCUGAAAGAGGAAUGAAAUAACUUAUAUAAGCACCAAAAAGCAAAGAUUAAAUCUUGUACCUUUUGCAUCAUGAUUUAGCCAGUAUACCCAAGCGAAGAGACCUUUAGUUUGAAACCCCGAAACCAAGUGAGCUACCCCGAGACAGCCUAUUAAGGGCCAACCCGUCUCUGUGGCAAAAGAGUGGGAAGAGCUCCGGGUAGAGGUGACAGACCUACCGAACUUGGUGAUAGCUGGUUGCCUAAGAAGUGAAUAGAAGUUCAGCCUCGUACUCCCUGAAUCAAAAGGUAUAAAAAGAUAUUAGAGGGAAAUAUAUGAGAGUUAGUUAAAGGGGGUACAGCCCCUUUAACAAAGGACACAACCUUUCCAGGAGGAUAAAGAUCAUAAUACAUAAGACAUCCUGUUCUAGUGGGCCUAAAGGCAGCCAUCUAAACAGAAAGCGUUAAAGCUCAGACAGAAAUAAGUUUAUUAUUCCGACAAGAAAUCUUACUCCCCUAAAUAUUAUUAGGCCAGCCCAUGCCCACAUGGGAGAGACUAUGCUAAAAUGAGUAACAAGAAGGCCAGCCCUUCUCCAAGCACAAGUGUAAGCCAAACCGGACCAACCAUUGGCAAUUAACGAACUCAACCCGAGAGAGUAAUGUGUAUUACAACAAAACCAGGAAGAACCCACAAUUAACCCAUCGUUACCCCCACACUGGUGUGCUAUUAAAGGAAAGACUAAAAGAAGGGAAAGGAACUCGGCAAACACAAGCCUCGCCUGUUUACCAAAAACAUCGCCUCCUGCAACACAACCAAGUAUAGGAGGUCCAGCCUGCCCAGUGACUACAAGUUCAACGGCCGCGGUAUUUUGACCGUGCAAAGGUAGCGCAAUCACUUGUCUCUUAAAUGGAGACCUGUAUGAAUGGCUAAACGAGGGCUUAACUGUCUCCCCCCUCCAGUCAGUGAAAUUGAUCUACCCGUGCAGAAGCGGGUGUAAUAAUACAAGACGAGAAGACCCUUUGGAGCUUAAGGUACAAAAAUCAACCACGUCAAGCAACUUAGUAAAGAGCAGAAACUUUGUGGGUAAUGAUUUUUUACCUUCGGUUGGGGCGACCACGGAGGAAAAAAGAGCCUCCAGGUGGACUGGGAAAACAUCCUAAAGCUAAGAGAGACAUCUCUAAGCCGCAGAACAUCUGACCAAUCAUGAUCCGGCUAACAAAGCCGAUCAACGAACCAAGUUACCCUAGGGAUAACAGCGCAAUCCUCUCCCAGAGUCCAUAUCGACGAGGGGGUUUACGACCUCGAUGUUGGAUCAGGACAUCCUAAUGGUGCAGCCGCUAUUAAGGGUUCGUUUGUUCAACGAUUAAAGUCCUACGUGAUCUGAGUUCAGACCGGAGCAAUCCAGGUCAGUUUCUAUCUGUAACGCUGCUUCUUCUAGUACGAAAGGAUCGAAGAAGGGGGGCCCAUGCUUGAGGUACGCCCCACCCCUAAUUUAUGAAAACAAAUAAAUAAAAUAAAGGGAGGGCCAAAACCCCAGCUGGCCAAAAUAAGGACAUACUGGGGUGGCAGAGCAUGGUAAAUUGCGAAAGGCCUAAGCCCUUUUAACCAGAGGUUCAAAUCCUCUUCCCAGUUUAUGAUAAACAUCU
rnacentral:rRNA from 1 species